CAUAACUUCCUUUCCUACGUCCUUUCCUACGUAACCAUCGCUUACAACGCGGCAGUGCAAGAGACGAGGCAGAUCGCGCCGUUUAGGCUGGUUUGCGGAAAGAAGCCGACGACGACUCUCGACGUCAUGCUGCCGCUUGUCACCGGCGAAGAGAACCUCGACGUCAACGCCCAUCUGCAGCGCGCCGAAGAAGCCAAACAACUCGCUCGCCCGCGCAUCAAAAACCAAGAAAAGAAAGACAGCCGAUAACACAAUCUUCCAUGACGCUACGUGGAAUACCAGCCCGGUGACCCUGCUUGUGUUUCGACUUCGGAUCCCCGACAAGGACUUUGUGAGAGACUUUCGCAACGCUAUCAGGUCCUGCGAGACGGCACUACGCAAGCAAAGCGGCGCCGCUCGCUGCCUGAAGUAGUCCAUGUUGCGGGGCUCAAGCCUUCCUACCAGCGAUAGCAAACUCUAAGACAUUGACGUAUGCUUUUUACGAUUCCGAAUAUGCAAGAAAUGCCGGGAAAUGUAAUCGCCGAGCUCAAGAUUGUUAACGAAUCCCAUGAAUGUGCAUGAAACCUUGGAUUUCGCUUGUGCACCGCCCGCCUCCUGGAUAUACGCGAGUUGAAGGAAUUGUGCACUUGGCAGAAGAGGGUACAACCGAAGGAAUACGAAGUACCGUUAAAGGAUGAAAAGGAACUUCGGCACAAUCAGAACCCAGCGAUACCGACAAGAGGCUGGCCACUUGGUGCUAGUGAGAAAACGAUUGUCAAACUCGUGCUCACAUCACAGAGGCUCAUAUCUGUUGCCAAAACGGCAAACCAGUACUCUUUUACGUAGGCCCAUGGCACUACCGAAUCAGUCUCUAUUUAGAAACAUUUUUAAAUACCUAACCAGAAGGUCCGAAAAAUGCUAGGGUGAGUGGAGCGUAUUACGGCCAGAAAAAGACGAGACAGAAGCCGCAGUAAAGGGGCAGCGG